UUGGCCUAGUGGUUAAGGCACUAGGCUAAAAAUCAGGUGACUGUGAGUUCUAGUCCCACA
rnacentral:tRNA from 1 species